rnacentral:lncRNA from 11 species
AUGCUUUGCACACCCACAACCGCAUUCGGGGAUCUUCCCCUCUUCCCCAGCGCAUGUAAUCUGGAGGUGAGCAGAUGUGGGGAUGGGGGCGGGGAGGCUCUUUGUAAUCCCAAAUCCAGCGUGAUCCCUUCUUCAAGCCCCAAGAAACACAGCCGGAGGCAGCAGCGCACAUUCCACGCCUGCGCAUCAGCAGCAGCAGCAGCAGCGCAUCCAGGGCUUGGCUGGAAGCAAAGGCUGGGAGCCAAGGGUUGGGGAAGGGGCCCCAGAGAGGAAGGAGGUGGGCGGGGAGGGGUCUCCCAGGUGUGGGACCUGAUGCACUUCUUUUCUGCAGGAGAAGCUGAAGACGGUCCGGUCCAGGCGGGAGGCCAUGGAGAGCUGUGGCCGCAGAGUGGGCAGCCCGCCUUGCUCUCUCCAGAACAGCCUGCUGGACUUGACGGAGACGGGCAAAGGGCUGAAGGUCCAAACGGAGAAGCCUCACCUGGUCAGCCUGGGCAGCGGGCGCCUCAGCACCGCCAUCACGCUCCUGCCCCUCGAGGAGGGUAAGAGCCGGGGGUCUUUUCAGCCGAAAUGCAAAAGGUUGGCAGUCGAAUCCGUGGGACAGGGUGUCAGCCCUAGCUCCUGCCAACCUAGCAGUUCGAAAACAUGC